AUUUGGCUGACGAAUCCCAAAUAGGACGAAACGCGCGUCCAGGAC
rnacentral:hammerhead_ribozyme from 1 species